rnacentral:piRNA from 1 species
UGACUCUAGCUUGCGUCAAGU